rnacentral:rRNA from 1 species
AGAGUUUGAUCAUGGCUCAGAGCGAUCGCUGCCGGCAGGCUUAACACAUGCAAGUCGAGCGGCGCGUAGCAAUACGUCAGCGGCAGACGGGUGAGUAACGCGUGAUAGCGUACUUUUUGGUACGGAAGAAUACAGGAAAACUUGUGCUAGUACCGGAUAAGCCCUUACGGUGAACGAUUUAUCGGAGAAAGAUCGGCCCGCGUCUGAUUAGCUAGUUCGUGAGAUAAUGGCUCACCAAGGCGACGAUCAGUAGCUGGUCUGAGAGGAUGAUCAGCCACAUUGGGACUGAGACACGGACCAAACUCUUACUGGAGGGAGCAGUGCGGAAUAUUGGACAAUGGGCGCAAGCCUGAUCCAGUCAUGCCGCGUGACUGAUGAAGGCCCUAGGGUUGUAAAGCUCUUUUGUGCGGGAAGAUAAUGAACGGUACCGCUAGAAUAAGCCCCGGCUGUCUUCGUGCCAGCACAGGCGGUAAUACGAAGGGGGCUAGCUGCUAGCUCGGAAUCACUGCGCGUAAAGGGUGCGUAGGCGGGUCUUUAAGUACACGGGGUGAAAUCCUGGAGCUCAACUCCAGAACUGCCUUUGAUACUGAGGAUCUUGAGUUCGGGAGAGGUGAGUGGACCUGCGAGUGUAGAGGUGAAAUUCGUAGAUAUUCGCAAGAACACCAGCGGCGAAGGCGGCUCACUGCGCCUCGAUACUGACGCUGAGGUGAUGAAAGCGUGCGGAGCAGACAGGUUUAGAUACCCCAGUAGUCC